CCUACGGGUCGCACCAGUAGGGAAUCUUCGGCAAUGAACGAAAGUCUGACCGAGCAACGCCGCGUGAGUGAAGAAGGUUUUCGGAUCGUAAAACUCUGUUGUUAGAGAAGAACAAGGACGUUAGUAACUGAACGUCCCCUGACGGUAUCUAACCAGAAAGCCACGGCUAACUACGUGCCAGCAGCCGCGGUAAUACGUAGGUGGCAAGCGUUGUCCGGAUUUAUUGGGCGUAAAGCGAGCGCAGGCGGUUUCUUAAGUCUGAUGUGAAAGCCCCCGGCUCAACCGGGGAGGGUCAUUGGAAACUGGGAGACUUGAGUGCAGAAGAGGAGAGUGGAAUUCCAUGUGUAGCGGUGAAAUGCGUAGAUGUAUGGAGGAAUACCGGUGGCGAAGGCAGCCCCCUGGACAAAGACUGACGCUCAGGUGCGAAAGCGUGGGGAGCAAACAGGAUUAGAUACCCUCGUAGUC
rnacentral:rRNA from 1 species